rnacentral:rRNA from 1 species
CUACGGGAGGCAGCAGUGGGGAAUAUUGCACAAUGGGCGCAAGCCUGAUGCAGCCAUGCCGCGUGUAUGAAGAAGGCCUUCGGGUUGUAAAGUACUUUCAGCGGGGAGGAAGGGAGUAAAGUUAAUACCUUUGCUCAUUGACGUUACCCGCAGAAGAAGCACCGGCUAACUCCGUGCCAGCAGCCGCGGUAAUACGGAGGGUGCAAGAGUUAAUCGGAAUUACUGGGCGUAAAGCGCACGCAGGCGGUUUGUUAAGUCAGAUGUGAAAUCCCCGGGCUCAACCUGGGAACUGCAUCUGAUACUGGCAAGCUUGAGUCUCGUAGAGGGGGGUAGAAUUCCAGGUGUAGCGGUGAAAUGCGUAGAGAUCUGGAGGAAUACCGGUGGCGAAGGCGGCCCCCUGGACGAAGACUGACGCUCAGGUGCGAAAGCGUGGGGAGCAAGCAGGAUUAGAUACCCCCGUAGUC